GACGAACCGUGCGAACGUUGUUCGGAAUCACUGGGCUUAAAGGGCGCGUAGGCGGCUUGCCAAGUCAGUGGUGAAAUCCCACAGCUUAACUGUGGAAGUGCCUUUGAUACUGGCGAGCUCGAGGGAGGUAGGGGUAUGUGGAACUUCUGGUGGAGCGGUGGAAUGCGUUGAUAUCAGAAGGAACGCCGGUGGCGAAAGCGACGUACUGGACCUCUUCUGACGCUGAGGCGCGAAAGCUAGGGGAGCAAACGGG
rnacentral:rRNA from 1 species